rnacentral:rRNA from 1 species
UACGGAGGGGGCUAGCGUUGUUCGGAAUUACUGGGCGUAAAGCGUGCGUAGGCGGCCCUGCAAGUCGGGGGUGAAAGCCCGAGGCUCAACCUCGGAACUGCCUUCGAUACUGCGGGUCUCGAGUCCGGGAGAGGUGAGUGGAAUUCCUAGUGUAGAGGUGAAAUUCGUAGAUAUUAGGAAGAACACCAGUGGCGAAGGCGGCUCACUGGCCCGGUACUGACGCUGAGGCGCGAAAGCGUGGGGAGCAAACAGG